GACGUAGGGCGCGAGCGUUGUCCGGAUUUAUUGGGCGUAAAGAGCUCGUAGGCGGCUUGUCGCGUCGAAUGUGAAAUCUCAGGGCUCAACUCUGACAUUGCAUUCGAUACGGGCAGGCUCGAGUUCGGUAGGGGAGACUGGAAUUCCUGGUGUAGCGGUGAAAUGCGCAGAUAUCAGGAGGAACACCGGUGGCGAAGGCGGUUCUCUGGGCCUGUUCUGACGCUGAGGAGCGAAAGCGUGGGGAGCGAACAGG
rnacentral:rRNA from 1 species